GCACCAGUGGUGUCCGGGACACACCGCCCUCGAAUUUGAUGCUGAUUUCUAAUUUCAAGCGGAGUCGGGGUUCGACUCCCCGCUGGUGCA